rnacentral:lncRNA from 10 species
CUGGAGGCUUGGAAGUCCAAGAUCAAGAGGUGAACAGAUUUGGUGUCUGGUGGGGGCCUGCUUCCUGAUUCAUAGAUGGCACCAUCCAGCUGUGCCCUCACAUGGUGGAAGGAAUGAGGCUGCUCUCUGGAAUCUCUUUUAUAAGAUAAUCAACUCCUUGGGAACUGGAAGCCUUUGUCAUCUUUGGUUAAGAACAUUGUCCUGAAGAAAGUAGGUGCUCAAAUACGUGACAUAAUAGCCAAUGUUUUUUGUUAUGUCAAUAGUGACAUAACAGCCAACACUUUUUGUGAUUUUAUGGUGCCAUUUAGUA